rnacentral:lncRNA from 12 species
UAUUUCUAGGUAGUGAGUGUAUGAAUACUAGGACAUUGCUGACUUCAUCAGGAGCAGCACCAGAACAAGGCAGAAAAUCAUACAAAAUUUCAGAUUCAGAGAAUCAGAUCAGCAACGUUGAGGAAGACGAGGCAAAUGUGCUAACUACCAAAUUAUUGUGGGAGACUGAAACCACCUUUGUGAAGGAAUGAAAUCACCCAAG